GUACGGGAGGCAGCAAUUAGGAAUCUUGCGCAAUGGACGAAAGUCUGACGCAGCGACGCCGCGUGCAGGAUGACGGCCUUCGGGUUGUAAACUGCUUUUAAGGGGGAAGAAGGAUGUGACGGUACCCCUUGGAUAAGCCCCGGCUAACUACGUGCCAGCAGCCGCGGUAAUACGUAGGGGGCGAGCGUUGUCCGAAUUUACUGGGCGUAAAGCGCGCGUAGGCGGACCUUUAAGUUGGGGGUGAAAUUUCGAGGCUUAACCUCGAAACUGCCUCCAAAACUGGGGGUCUUGAGGUAUGGAGAGGGAAGUGGAAUUCCUGGUGUAGCGGUGAAAUGCGUAGAUAUCAGGAGGAACACCCGUGGCGAAGGCGGCUUCCUGGCCAUAUCCUGACGCUGAGGUGCGAAAGCUAGGGGAGCGAACGGGAUUAGAUACCCCGGU
rnacentral:rRNA from 1 species